rnacentral:rRNA from 1 species
AUUGAACGCUGGCGGCAUGCCUUACACAUGCAAGUCGAACGGUAACAGGUCUUCGGAUGCUGACGAGUGGCGAACGGGUGAGUAAUACAUCGGAACGUGCCCAGACGUGGGGGAUAACGAGGCGAAAGCUUUGCUAAUACCGCAUACGAUCUAAGGAUGAAAGCAGGGGACCGCAAGGCCUUGCGCGUUUGGAGCGGCCGAUGGCAGAUUAGGUAGUUGGUGGGAUAAAAGCUUACCAAGCCGACGAUCUGUAGCUGGUCUGAGAGGACGACCAGCCACACUGGGACUGAGACACGGCCCAGACUCCUACGGGAGGCAGCAGUGGGGAAUUUUGGACAAUGGGCGAAAGCCUGAUCCAGCAAUGCCGCGUGCAGGAUGAAGGCCUUCGGGUUGUAAACUGCUUUUGUACGGAACGAAAAGGCUCUGGCUAAUACCUGGGGCACAUGGCGGUACCGUAAGAAUAAGCACCGGCUAACUACGUG